rnacentral:rRNA from 1 species
UACGGGAGGCAGCAGUGGGGAAUAUUGCACAAUGGGCGCAAGCCUGAUGCAGCCAUGCCGCGUGUAUGAAGAAGGCCUUCGGGUUGUAAAGUACUUUCAGUCGUGAGGAAGGUGUUAAGGUUAAUAACCUUAGCAAUUGACGUUAGCGACAGAAGAAGCACCGGCUAACUCCGUGCCAGCAGCCGCGGUAAUACGGAGGGUGCGAGCGUUAAUCGGAAUUACUGGGCGUAAAGGGCACGCAGGCGGUUAAUUAAGUUGGAUGUGAAAUCCCCGGGCUUAACCUGGGAAUGGCAUUCAAGACUGGUUAGCUAGAGUCUUGUAGAGGGGGUAGAAUUCCGAUGUGUAGCGGUGAAAUGCGUAGAGAUGUGGAGGAAUACCGGUGGCGAAGGCGGCCCCUGGACAAAGGCUGACGCUCAUGUGCGAAAGCGUGGGGAGCGAAACAGGGAUUAGAUACCCGGU